rnacentral:rRNA from 1 species
GACGAACGCUGGCGGCGUGCCUAAUACAUGCAAGUCGAACGCAGUGGGGACGGGUGAGUAACACGUUGGUAACCUCCCAUCAGAGGGGAUAACACUUGGAAACAGGUGCUAAACCGAUACUGAUGGAUGGACCCGCGGUGCAUUAGCCAGUUGGUGAGGUAACGGGUCACCAAGGCAUCGAAGCAUAGCCGACCUGGUAGGGUGGUCGCCCAAACUGGGACGUGGACACGGCCCUGACUCCUACGUGAGGCAGCAGUCGGGAAUCUUCGGCAAUGGACGAAAGUCUGACCGAGCAACGCCGCGUGGGUGAAGAAGGUUUUCGGAUCGUAAAACUCUGUUGUUAGAGAAGCGGUAUCUAACCAGAAAGCCACGGCUAACUACGUGCCAGCAGCCGCGGUAAUAC